AACGAACGCUGGCGGCAGGCCUAACACAUGCAAGUCGAGCGGAUGACGGGAGCUUGCUCCUUGAUUCAGCGGCGGACGGGUGAGUAAUGCCUAGGAAUCUGCCUGGUAGUGGGGGACAACGUUUCGAAAGGAACGCUAAUACCGCAUACGUCCUACGGGAGAAAGCAGGGGACCUUCGGGCCUUGCGCUAUCAGAUGAGCCUAGGUCGGAUUAGCUAGUAGGUGAGGUAAUGGCUCACCUAGGCGACGAUCCGUAACUGGUCUGAGAGGAUGAUCAGUCACACUGGAACUGAGACACGGUCCAGACCCCUACGGGAGGCAGCAGUGGGGAAUAUUGGACAAUGGGCGAAAGCCUGAUCCAGCCAUGCCGCGUGUGUGAAGAAGGUCCUCGGAUUGUAAAGCACUUUAAGUUGGGAGGAAGGGUUGUACGUUAAUACCGUGCAAUUUUGACGUUACCGACAGAAUAAGCACCGGCUAACUCUGUGCCAGCCGCCGCCGUAAGAC
rnacentral:rRNA from 1 species